CCUACGGGAGGCAGCAGUGGGGAAUAUUGGGCAAUGGGCGAAAGCCUGACCCAGCAACGCCGCGUGAAGGAUGAAGGCCUUCGGGUCGUAAACUUCUUUUAAGAGGGAAGAGCAGAAGACGGUAUCACUUGAAUAAGCCACGCCUAACUACGUGCCAGCAGCCGCGGUAAUACGUAGGUGGCAAGCGUUGUCCGGAUUUACUGGGUGGAAAGGGCGUGCAGCCGGGAAGACAAGUCAGAUGUGAAAUCCCGCGGCUCAACCGCGGAACUGCAUUUGAAACUGUUUUUCUUGAGUACCGGAGAGGUCAGCGGAAUUCCUUGUGUAGCGGUGAAAUGCGUAGAUAUAAGAAAGAACACCAGUGGCGAAGGCGGAUGUCUGGACGGCAACUGACGGUGAGGCGCGAAAGCGUGGGGAGCAAACAGGAUUAGAUACCCGGGUAGUC
rnacentral:rRNA from 1 species